rnacentral:rRNA from 1 species
UAGGGAAUCUUCCACAAUGGGCGAAAGCCUGAUGGAGCGACGCCGCGUGUGUGAUGAAGGGUUUCGGCUCGUAAAACACUGUUGUAAGAGAAGAAUGACAUUGAGAGUAACUGUUCAAUGUGUGACGGUAUCUUACCAGAAAGGAACGGCUAAAUACGUGCUAG